UUCUGUUGUCCUCAGCCAACCAGGACCUUCAGCCCGUGCUUGCGGCCAAGAGGCAUAUCCUUGCUCUAAACAUGAAAGAUCUUGCGAAUCCCAAUAUAAUGAAUAUGUGGCUUGAUCAUUUUCAAUCAUGUAAGCAAGAUUGUAUCUCAUUAAACGCACAUAGCAGCAACUCUAAUUAUCAGGUAGUUUGCUCCCAUCUGAUCUGCUUCUGUGAAAGGGUCCUGUACAAGAAGGCGAAGAUGACUGCUCCUGUACAAGAAGGCGAAGAGCGAAAGUCUUCUUUUUUAGUUGUUGCGGAAGUUCUGACCAAGCAUCGCCCAUCAAGCAAAACAGAUUUGGUA